AGCCGCCACAAAUCUCCGUCCUUAACAUUAACCCUCAAAUCUUUCACAAUGUUCGUACGCCUCGAUAAACACUCUACACGUUCCGCUUCAACAUUUAAAACGUCGCCAAAUAGAAGCGCUGCGUGACGCGAAAUGUCUUUGUUUAUCUGUGCGUUUUCUCCGACUCAGCGUCGCCGAAAGUCCAGUUCGGUUUUUACGUGAAGCUCCAAAAAUCUAUGAAAUGUGUUUGCAUGUUCUUCUGGAUGUAGAGGUGGGAUUGCGAGAAUCGAAAGGUUGGUGAGCCCACACGCUCAGCUUCCCAGAAAGUACGUUUAGCAAUAAUACACUAUUCUCUUCCUCACGCGCUCGGCUCGGUCGAAGGCUACAUGAUUUCUGGAAGUGGAGAAUAAGCUUUUUCUCCCUUCUUUUUGCCAUCAAUCUCUACGACAGGCUUGGAGAAGGGGCGCUCGGACAGUGGAAGCCCUCCCCUCUGCUCGGAUCUGCCUUGAAGGUGAUGCUGCCGACGGGUGCAGCGUUCCGGUGGUUCCAGUAGGACUGUGACCUCUGACCUCCACCCAAAACUCUGCCAUCAAGUGCAAUGCCAACUCUCGCUUGGAUCAUCUCGGGCACCAACACUGGCUGACAAACACAAACUACGUGAAAAAAAGAAGAAAAGAAACACAAGACAACUAUGAAAAAAAAAACUUCAUCACAAGAUACAGAACAAUAAAACAACAAUACAAAAAGAAUCAAACGAGUAAUGGAUGCACCUACUUAUUCCUUGAACCAAAAAUUUAAACAUAAAAAUAUCUAUGGCAACUUUCAUUCCCUUUUAUAUGUUUCCAUUUUGGUACCUUUUUGUCCCUUUUCCAGCAGAUUUUUUCUGUGGCUUAGACAUGGAACUGUUCAUUGACAAACAGAAAUGGCGGACUCAGUAUGGACAAUCAACAAAAUUUCUGUGUUUGGUGUUAAUGUUGUUCACGUGUGGAAAGAUACAGUACUUGUGUAGAGAAUGUAAAUUUUACGGCUAUAUUUUAAAAUUAGUGGCUAAUGGCAAGCACUAUUGUAAUUUAGGACCAUUGUUCUUACUUAUAAACUGUAUUUUAUGAUUGUUUCUUUUUUUUAGUUUGAUUUAAAUUUAGAGUUUUAAAAACUGAUCAGUGUUUGUCUUUCAAGGGAGAGUAAAUAUUCCAAAAUCUACAAAUCCAGUUUUCUGAAUGAACAAAUAUGCAUCAUAAAAAACCCCUACUCUGACGACGACUUAAUUGGAAGAUAAAAUUGUCAUUGUUUCUGUAGGGUUGUUACUACUGGAAGCUCCAAACUUUAAAUAUUUCAGUUUGUUUUAUUGUACUGACAGCCUUUUGUUAUAUCAUGUCAGAUUACAUCAUAUCAUGUCGCGUAAUAUCACGUCGAAUCACGUUCCACGUGAUGUUACGUUUUAUUACGGCUCGUCACAUUAUUGUUCUCAGUGUACAGGUCUGAAUUUUUACGGAGCCCUCCACAGCACUUGCUCGGCUCUAUCAAACGCACUGAAAAAGAUUUAAAUUUUUUUGUUUUUGUUUUGUUUUCAUGACAUUGCCGGUAGCUACAUCUUUUAAAAAAAGCAGCAAUGUUUGUAUUGGAUUAGAACUAUGGGCUGGUUUUGUGAAUAAAAACAAAUGCAUGUAUUUGUGUCGAAAAUUUACAGCUCUGACGUCUGUCUAUUUGCAUGUUUUUUAAGAAACAGCAACAAACGUACAAAAAAAUUAUAACAAUAUGGAAAUGUUCGCAGAAUCCUCUAGAUUGUUCCCUUUUCCAUUCAAACAGUAAAAUAAAAAGCAAUGGGACAAAAUAUGUCAUUUUGAGAUGCGAUAAAGAUGUUUUAUCAAGAGUCUUUGAUUUCUUCAUCUUCUUCUACUUGAUGUCUGACACACUUAUAACAAUAACAGUGAAGAAGAGUGUGCUUCUGGCUUUGUCUGUGGCCCACUGAUCUUAAUAUCUUUGCAUUCCUUUGUGCAGUACAGUCUGACAUUUAAAGGUAAAAAAAAAAACACAAUUAAAAGACAAUGAAUUAUUGAUACUCAGCCAACGUCUCUUGACCAGC
ensembl:lncRNA